rnacentral:rRNA from 1 species
AAAAAGGGUCUCCCGUUGGUGACCAGCGGAGGGAUCAUUA